rnacentral:rRNA from 1 species
AGAGUUUGAUCCUGGCUCAGGACGAACGCUGGCGGCGUGGAUUAGGCAUGCAAGUCGAACGAGAAAGUUUUGCUUCGGCAAAGCGAGUAAAGUGGCGAACGGGUGAGUAACGCGUAGGUAAUUUACCUUUAAGUGGGGGACAGCCUCGGGAAACCGGGAUUAAUACCGCAUGUGUCCGGCAUCAGUCGGUUAAAGCCGGCCUCUGCUACAAGCUGGUGCUUAGAGAUAAGCCUGCGUCCUAUUAGUUAGUUGGUGGGGUAAGAGCCUACCAAGGCGAUGAUAGGUAGGCGGCCUUAACGGGUGGUCGCCCACACUGGGAUUGAGAUACGGCCCAGACUCCUACGGGGGGCAGCAGUCGAGAAUAGUCUACAAUGGGGGAAACCCUGAUAGUGCGACGCCGCGUGAACGAUGAAGCAUUUCGGUGCGUAAAGUUCUUUUCUGUGUGAGCAAGAGACAGAUGUUUAAGAGAUAUUUGUAAGAGAUAUUAACACAGGAAUAAGCCACGGCUAACUCCGUGCCAGCAGCCGCGGUAAUACGGGGGUGGCAAGCGUUGUCCGGAAUCACUAGGCGUAAAGGGCAAGUAGGCGGAAUAAUAAGUCAGAUGUUAAAGGCAUUGGCUCAACUAAUGUAGGGCAUUUGAUACUGUUAUUCUAGAGUAAGGUAGAGGAAGACGGAAUUCCUGGUGUAGCGGUGGAAUGCGCAGAUAUCAGGAAGAACACCGAUAGCGAAGGCAGUCUUCUGGGCCAUUACUGACGCUAAAUUGCGAAGGUGUGGGUAUCAAACAGGAUUAGAUACCCUGGUAGUCCACACAGUAAACGAUAAACACUAGAUGUUGGGGGAGAUGAUCCUUCAGUGUCGGAGCUAACGCAUUAAGUGUUUCGCCUGGGGAGUACGAUCGCAAGGUUUAAACUCAAAGGAAUUGACGGGGGCCCGCACAGGCGGUGGAGCAUGUGGUUUAAUUCGAUGCAACGCGAAGAACCUUACCUGGGCUUGACAUCCUGAGAAUUUUUCAGAGAUGAGAAAGUGCCUCUUUUGAGGAACUCAGAGACAGGUGCUGCAUGGCUGUCGUCAGCUCGUGUCGUGAGAUGUUGGGUUAAGUCCCGCAACGAGCGCAACCCCUAUCGUUAGUUACCAUCAAGUAAAGUUGGGGACUCUAGCGAGACUGCCAGAGUAACAAUCUGGAGGAAGCGGGGACGACGUCAAGUCAUCAUGGUCCUUAUGUCCAGGGCUACACACGUGCUACAAUGGUCAGUACAGAGGGAAGCUAAGCAGUGAUGUGGAGCAAAUCCCAGAAAGCUGAUCUCAGUUCGGAUUGGAGUCUGCAACUCGACUCCAUGAAGUUGGAAUCGCUAGUAAUCGCGUGUCAGCAUAACGCGGUGAAUACGUUCCCGGGCCUUGUACACACCGCCCGUCAAGUCAGCCUAGUUGAUUGCACCCGAAGUAGGUGAGCUAACCGCAAGGAUGCAGCUUACGAAGGUGUGGUUAGCAAGGGGGACUAAGUCGUAACAAGGUA